CUACGGGCGGCAGCAGUAAGGAAUAUUGCGCAAUGGAGGCAACUCUGACGCAGCCAUGCCGCAUGCAGGAAGAAGGCCUUAUGGGUCAUAAACUGCUUUUAUUUAGGAAUAAACCCCCGAACGUGUUCGGGGCUGAAGGUACUAAACGAAUAAGCACCGGCUAACUCCGUGCCAGCAGCCGCGGUAAUACGGAGGGUGCAAGCGUUAUCCGGAUUUAUUGGGUUUAAAGGGUGCGCAGGCGGGCUAUUAAGUCAGUGGUGAAAUCCCGGGGCUCAACUCCGGAACUGCCAUUGAUACUGAUAGUCUUGAGUUUGGUUGAAGUGGGCGGAAUGUAGCAUGUAGCGGUGAAAUGCAUAGAUAUGCUACAGAACACCAAUCGCGAAGGCAGCUCACUAAGCCAAAACUGACGCUCAUGCACGAAAGCGUGGGGAUCAAACAGGAUUAGAUACCCGCGUAGUC
rnacentral:rRNA from 1 species